rnacentral:rRNA from 1 species
ACGGAAGGCAGCAGUGGGGAAUAUUGGGCAAUGGGCGAAAGCCUGACCCAGCAACGCCGCGUGAAGGAAGAGGGUCCUCGGAUUGUAAACUUCUUUUAUCAGGGACGAAGAAAGUGACGGUACCUGAUGAAUAAGCCACGGCUAACUACGUGCCAGCAGCCGCGGUAAUACGUAGGUGGCGAGCGUUAUCCGGAUUUACUGGGUGUAAAGGGCGCGUAGGCGGGGAUGCAAGUCAGAUGUGAAAUCCAUGGGCUUAACUCAUGAACUGCAUUUGAAACUGUAUCUCUUGAGUGUCGGAGAGGUAGAUGGAAUUCCUAGUGUAGCGGUGGAAUGCGUAGAUAUUAGGAGGAACACCAGUGGCGAAGGCGAUCUACUGGACGAUAACUGACGCUGAGGCGCGAAAGCGUGGGGAGCAAACAGGAUUAGAUACCCUGGUA